rnacentral:rRNA from 1 species
UACGUAGGGGGCAAGCGUUAUCGGGAUUUACUGGGUGUAAAGGGAGCGUAGACGGCGCUGCAAGUCCGGAGUGAAAGCCCAUGGCUUAACCAUGGUACUGCUCUGGAAACUGUGGAGCUUGAGUGCGGGAGGGGCAGGCGGAAUUCCUAGUGUAGCGGUGAAAUGCGUAGAUAUUAGGAGGAACACCGGCGGCGAAGGCGGCCUGCUGGACCGUAACUGACGUUGAGGCUCGAAAGCGUGGGGAGCAAACAGG